CCCCUGUCUAAGGCCCCACCCCCACAGACUUAAGUGAAGACCCGCAUUCCUACUUUCUAUCCCAAAUGUUGCGUUUUCUAAGACCACUCUGGCCCGCCAUACCUCCAUCCUGGGCCUAUAAAAAUCCGAGACCCUAGCAAGACAGAAACGGAAGCUGCUGGACGACGAGAUGAAAAUAUCGGCCAAAGAAGACAAGCCACCGGACAUUGAGAGGACAUCGAGGGGAGCCCCCGCUUGUCGCACGCCCUGCCACAGGGAUGAGGGAACCUCUCCAGUUUCAAUAUUAUCCAACCACGUUGAUCACUUAAGAAAAAGAAGCCUUGUGCUAUUAAAGAAGAAUAAGGAGGAGGAAGAGGAGGAGACGGAAGAGAGGAGAAGAGAGGAGCAGGGGAAAAGCAUACGGACAGAAGAACACACAAAAGACUGAGAGUUGAUUCUGAUGGCAUUUUCUUUCUUAGGUAGUUUUUUCUAAGCUCCAGACUCAUUAUCAUCCUUGUUUUCUACAAGCCACACUAAUAUCAUCUUAAUAAAUUAUUUUAUUUUUUGCUGAAAAACAUCUUGAGUCCU
rnacentral:lncRNA from 1 species